rnacentral:rRNA from 1 species
AUUGAACGCUGGCGGCAGGCCUAACACAUGCAAGUCGAACGAGUGGCGGACGGGUGAGUAAUGUCUGGGAAACUGCCUGAUGGAGGGGGAUAACUACUGGAAACGGUAGCUAAUACCGCAUACCAUCAGAUGUGCCAGGAUGGGAUUAGCUGUUUGUUGGGGUAACGGCUCACCAAGGCGACGAUCACUAGCUGGUCACGGAGGAGGACGGGCCACACUGGACCGGAGACACGGUCCAGACUCCUACGGGAGGCAGCAGUGGGGAAUAUGGCACAAUGGGCGCAAGCCUGAUGCAGCCAUGCGGCGUGUAGGAAGAAGGCCUUCGGGUUGUAAAGUACUUUCAGCGGGGAGGCGUUACCCGCAGAAGAAGCACCGGCUAACUCCGUGCCAGCCGCCGCGGUAAUUC